CUGGCGGCGUGCUUAACACGAUAGCAAGUCGAGCGAUGAAGCUCUUCGGAAGUGGAUUAGCGGCGACGGGUGAGUAACACGUGGGUAACCUGCCUCAUAGAGGGGAAUAGCCUUCCGAAAGGAAGAUUAAUACCGCAUAAGAUUGUAAUAUCGCAUGAUAUAGCAAUUAAAGGAGCAAUCCACUAUGAGAUGGACCCGCGUCGCAUUAGCUAGUUGGUGAGGUAACGGCUCACCAAGGCGACGAUGCGUAGCCGACCUGAGAGGGUGAUCGGCCACAUUGGGACUGAGACACGGCCCAGACUCCUACGGGAGGCAGCAGUGGGGAAUAUUGCACAAUGGGGGAAACCCUGAUGCAGCCAACGCCGCGUGAGUGAUGACGGUCUUCGGAUUGUAAAGCUCUGUCUUCAGGGACGAUAAUGACGGUACCUGAGGAGGAAGCCACGGCUAACUACGUGCCAGCAGCCGC
rnacentral:rRNA from 1 species